rnacentral:snRNA from 1 species
AGCAAUCCAGCAGUUGACA